UUUCUGUUUUCGUUUUUUAGGUUUUUUUUUAGAAAAAUGCUAUGUUGUUCUUGCUGUUGUCGUCUGUUGUUGUGUUCUUAUGUUCUUUUAGGGUUUUGAAAAAAAAUAACUUUGCCUUGCAGUUGCUGUUCUUGUUUCUUUGAAAAGAACUCUGUUGUGUUUAUGUUGUUCUUGAGGCUUUUUGAGAAAAAGUUGCUUUUAUGUUGUUGUGGUUUUGGAGUUAACAGAGAAAAAAAUUACUUUGAAAAUUUCUUCUGGAUUUCAAAAAAAACCUCCGUUACUGUUAAUUAGUUUUGUGGUUUUUAUACAUGAAUGUUGGUUUCUGUGAGAUAACUUGUUGGAUCCUAUUUCCAGAUUUUGUGGGAUGAUUAAUCUAUGGAUUUAAAGUUGUUUAUUUGGAUAAUGCAGUGUGUUUCUGAGCGCUUCCUUUGAUUCAUUGUGUGAAGUGAUGUUGAUGCUGAUUGAUUGAAAAAGGGGGUUGUUAUUCAACAGGUUUUGGAAAAGUUCUGAAGAGUUGGUUUUGAAUUGGGAACUUCCCAAAAGAGCUUUUGGAAGAGUCUGUGAAAUUUGCUUCAAACUGCUGUGUUUACAGCUUAUUCUAAUUUUUUUAAUAAAAUUAUUUCUGAUGUAACAGAGACUUUUUGGAUUAUGAAUUUAGGGAUUGCUUGUAACAUGUACAAACUUAAUUUGGAAUUUCUCUUUUUGGACAGUUAUGUAAUUGUUUUGGA